UACGAAGGGGGCUAGCGUUGCUCGGAAUCACUGGGCGUAAAGGGUGCGUAGGCGGGUCUUUAAGUCAGGGGUGAAAUCCUGGAGCUCAACUCCAGAACUGCCUUUGAUACUGAAGAUCUUGAGUUCGGGAGAGGUGAGUGGAACUGCGAGUGUAGAGGUGAAAUUCGUAGAUAUUCGCAAGAACACCAGUGGCGAAGGCGGCUCACUGGCCCGAUACUGACGCUGAGGCGCGAAAGCGUGGGGAGCAAACAGGG
rnacentral:rRNA from 1 species